UGCUAUACUGAUUCAAUUUUUAGCCAUGGAUUUUAGUGGCAAAAUUCUGGAGAAGCUUGUGUACAACUAUCAUAGAAUUCAAUAAAAUAAUCUGAGCUCCUAAGCUCCCUCUAGUGGUGGCUGCAGAGGGUUGAAGCUCUGAAUAAGAAAAUGAAGAAUCCACUUUUCUUAUAAAUGUUAAUUAUGAAACUAUUAGACCUCAUUCACACGUCAGUGUUUCGAUCAGUGAUCUCCAUCAGUGAAUGUGAACCAAAACAAGGAUUGGAUCCUCCACAGAUAUAAGGUAUAAGGGCUUAUUCAUACGGCCGUAGUGUUUUGUGUUCCGCAAAUUGCGGAUUCGCAAAACAAGGAUACCAGCCGUGUGCGUUCCGAAUUUUGCGGACCCCACAUGGCCAACACUAUGAUAGAAAUGCCUAUUCUUGUCUGCAGUAGGACAUGCUCUAUCAUUUUUGCGUGAGAGCGGAACAGAACUACGGAUGUGGACCGCACACGGUGCUGUCCCCAUCUUUUGUGGCCUCAUUGAAAUGAAUGGGUAUGGGUACGCACCCCUUCCAUAAAAUUGCGGAACUGAUGCCGACCCAUUCAUAUGGUUAUCUGAAUGAGGCCUAAGGGAAAGAUCUGCACCUGCUCUGUGUUUAGAGCUGCACCUGGUUUUGGCUCACAAUCACUGA